GACGAACGCUGGCGGCGUGCCUAAUACAUGCAAGUGGGACGCAAGGAAACACACUGUGCUUGCACACCGUGUUUUCUUGAGUCGCGAACGGGUGAGUAACGCGUAGGUAACCUGCCUAUUAGCUGGGGAUAACUAUUGGAAACGAUAGCUAAUACCGCAUAAUAUUAAUUAUUGCAUGAUAAUUGAUUGAAAGAUGCAAGCGCAUCACUAGUAGAUGGACCUGAGUUGUAUUAGCUAGUUGGUAAGGUAAGAGCUUACCAAGGCGACGAUACAUAGCCGACCUGAGAGGGUGAUCGGCCAAACUGGGAAUGAGACAAGGCACAGACUGAUACGGGAGGCAGAAGUAGGGAAUCAUCGGCAAUGGACGAAAGUCUGACCGAGCAACGCCGCGUGAGUGAAGAAGGUAUUCGGAUCGGAAAGCUAUGUUGUAAGUCAAGAACGUGUGUGAGAGUGGAAAGUUCACACAGUGACGGUAGCUAACCAGAAAGGGACGGCUAACUACGUG
rnacentral:rRNA from 1 species